UAGGGAAUCUUCCGCAAUGGACGAAAGUCUGACGGAGCAACGCCGCGUGAGUGAAGAAGGAUUUCGGUUCGUAAAACUCUGUUGUUAGGGAAGAAAAAAUGUAUAGUAACUAUAUACAAAAGAGACGGUACCUAACCAGAAAGCCACGGCUAACUACGUGCCAGCAGCCGCGGUAAUACGUAGGUGGCAAGCGUUGUCCGGAAUUAUUGGGCGUAAAGCGCGCGCAGGUGGUUUAGAAAGUCUGAUGUGAAAGCCCACGGCUCAACCGUGGAGGGUCAUUGGAAACUAAUAAACUUGAGUGCAGGAGAGAAAAGUGGAAUUCCUAGUGUAGCGAUGAAAUACGUAGAGAUUAGGAGGAACACCGGUGGCGAAAGCGGCUUUUUGGCCUGCAACUGACACUGAGGCGCGAAAGCGUGGGGAGCAAACAGG
rnacentral:rRNA from 1 species